AUUGAACGCUGGCGGCAGGCCUAACACAUGCAAGUCGAGCGGAUGAAGGGAGCUUGCUCCUGGAUUCAGCGGCGGACGGGUGAGUAAUGCCUAGGAAUCUGCCUGGUAGUGGGGGAUAACGUCCGGAAACGGGCGCUAAUACCGCAUACGUCCUGAGGGAGAAAGUGGGGGAUCUUCGGACCUCACGCUAUCAGAUGAGCCUAGGUCGGAUUAGCUAGUUGGUGGGGUAAAGGCCUACCAAGGCGACGAUCCGUAACUGGUCUGAGAGGAUGAUCAGUCACACUGGAACUUAGACACGGUCCAUACUCCUACGGGAGGCAGCAGUGGGGAAUAUUGGACAAUGGUCGAAAGCCUGAUCCAGCCAUGCCGCGUGUGUGAAGAAGGUCUUCGGAUUGUAAAGCACUUUAAGUUGUGAGGAAGGGCAGUAAGUUAAUACCUUGCUGUUUUGACGUUACCAACAGAAUAAGCACCGGCUAACUUCGUG
rnacentral:rRNA from 1 species